AGCGUGGUUCAGUCAGCAGCGCGCUUGACUCACGUAGGUAAGGUCGUUGGUUCGAAUCCCA
rnacentral:tRNA from 1 species